rnacentral:lncRNA from 1 species
UCCAGCAAUUCUCCAUGCCCCAGGAGCAAGAAAUCCUACGGUUUCUUGCCGCCAGGCCCAAAAAGAAAAGAAAAGAAGGGGAGGCGCUAGCCCCUCCUCUCUUGCAGCCGCCAACCAUUUCCUCUCUCCCUCUCUUGCAGCCACCCAAACAUCAGGUCCAGGAUUUAAAAUCUCUUGAAAAGAGGUUGGUACAAGUCUCUCUCAGAUCUAGAGUUGAUCUGAGGUCGUUUGAGGUGC